rnacentral:rRNA from 1 species
AUGCAUGCCUUCAACCAAUUCUACAACCUGGCAGGUAGCAAUUUUGGGUUGCUAAAUUCAGCAAUCGUAGCCCUAAUCCCCAAGAAAGACGGCCCGAACAGCAUAAAUGAUUACCGGCCGAUUAGCCUGAUACACUCCAUCGCCAAGCUAGUCUCCAAAGUGCUCUCGAUUAGGCUCGCCCGGAUCAUCCAACGCAUCAUAUCGCCGGCCCAGACAGCUUUUCUGAAAACAAGAUGCCUUCAUGACAGUUUUGUCUAUGUU